AUUGAACGCUGGCGGCAGGCCUAACACAUGCAAGUCGAGCGGAGCGGCGGACGGGUGAGUAAUGCCUAGGAAUCUGCCUGGUAGUGGGGGAGAACGUCCGGAAACGGGCGCUAAUAACGCCUACUAUCAGAUGGGCCUAUGUCGGAUUAGCUAGUGGGUGGGGUAUAGGCCUACCAAGGCGACGAUCCGUAACUGGUUUGGGAGGAUGAUAAGUCACACUGGAACUGAGACACGGUCCAGACUCCUACGGGAGGCAGCAGUGGGGAAUAUUGGACAAGGGGCGAAAGCCUGAUCCAGCCAUGCCGCGUGUGUGAAGAAGGUCGUCGGCUUGUAAAGCACUUUAAGUUGGGAGGCGUUACCAACAGAAUAAGCACCGGCUAACUUCGUGCCAGCAGCCGCGGUAAUUC
rnacentral:rRNA from 1 species